UUUUUGUUUGUCCCGUGGCCAGUCACAAAUCUCAGAUCUCAAAAUCAGUGUGUAUGUUCUCUACUCUGCAAAAUCACGAUUCAUAGAGCCAAAGAGGAGAAUCUUCAUUCCCUUUCUUCUUAGCGAUUCUGCGUAGCGAGCCGUGGAAACGACUCAACGAGCUUCUCUGAGUCUUUGACCUUGGUAGACAACAAAAGACAAGAAUGGAUUCACAGACACUUGAAACAAUAGCAGUUCUUAAUGCUGAGAAUGAGCGGAUGGAGAUUGAUGAUGAGGAUGAAGCACAAAGUGAAACUCAUCCUACUCAAGCAGCUGAAACUCUGAGUCAUUCAAAGCGAGCAAGAUCUAGUGUCUGGGAAGAGUUUGUCCCUGUAGGAGUAGAGGCAGAUGGGAAGAGAAGGAGUCAGUGCAUUCAUUGUAACAAGAAGCUAGUAUCUGAAUCAGCCUCAGGAACAUCUUCUUUGAAACGCCAUUUGGGAAUCUGUCCAAAAAAGCCUCCUGGCUCAAGUGAUGAACCUGAGUAUGAUCACAAAGUAGAUCGUGCUAUGAUCAGUGAGAUCAUUAUUUACCAUGAUCAGCCUUUCAAAUAUGCUCAGCAUUCCAAUCACAACUGUGGCAUCAGAAUCAGCAUUUAGCAUUGGAGGGCGGGUGAUAAGUCCUUACUGAAACCGUCUUCUUCCAAAAAAUGUUCAAGCGUUGCUUUGUACUAGAAACUGGUUAAGAGGCUUUGCUGAAUUUGAAGGUGAUAUUGAAGAUUAUUUUGAUGAAGACAAUGAAGCUACAACCACAACAAGUAGUUCUGGAAUGAGUUAAAAGUUGAUAUUAUGAAGCAGGGAGAAACUGCAUGGACGCACUGAAGCAUCAUGGGUUAUGAACUUAUGAUUCUUCUUCUAUCGUUAGAUUUUUUUAUUUAGUUGCUGAAGCUUUGUAUGACUUCUCUAGAGAUGCUUUUGCUUGUAGGAAUACUUUUUAUUUUAUUACCCUAAAACUUGAUGUCAGGAUCUCCUUUUUCUUAGUGUUCAUUUCUCAAACUCUUACAUAAACUUGUUGUUUACGAGCAAAUUAAAAAUAAAAAGAGGAUAAAAACUUGAUGAUCAAACUAUAAAGCUCAAAACAUGAUUAAAAAUUAAAAAUUCAAUACAAAAAAAUAAAUUUAAAACUAUAAAGCUCAAAACAUGAUUAAAAAUUAAAUAUUCAAUACAAAAAAAAUUAAAACUAUAAAGCUUUAACUAAACCCACAAAACUGAAAAAAA